CUGAGAUUCAAGCUGGUUUCUGGCAGCAAGGCUGGAAUUGAGCUCCCUGAUCUCCUGUGGGUUUGAAUUCUGUACAGUUCUACUGCACGUUUGAUCUGCCCUUUCCUUGCAGCAAGUCUGGGUUCCAGUAGGAGGUGCUGAUCCCACCAACUCACCAACUGCUGUAGUCUGCUGGGUCUUCACUACAGUGUCUCUGUGGGCUUCAACUUUCUGACUUCUGGGGUUGGAAUCUGGGGUUGGCCUUUCCUCAAUCUGAAGAUUCUCUAAUGAUACUCUUGCCCAAGACUUCCCUCUGUGAUCCUGUCCACACAGCUCUCUCAGCUGCUGUGGCACCUUUUGUGUUUGCCCUGUCCCAGUGCAAGAGAGGGGAGGGUUUCCUUCCUGUCACCAGCCAAAGCCCCUUGUCUGCCCCCUGGAUCUGGUCUCAGAGCAGAGUGGGUGUCUCCAGCCCUUUGUAGUUAAGUCUCUGGGUGGAGCUGGGAGCAGGGUUUGGCUGGAUCUGUUCUCAGUUUCACAACAUAAAUUCCCUCAGUCUGCUGACUAGCUUCUGGCAGUCCACUGUGGCUGUUCCACUCUUUCUUCUUUCACUCAGGUCAGUAAAGCCACCUGGCAGAAGAGACAAAAAAGGGGGCCACCUCUGCCCAAAUGGGAGGCGUGACCCAGCUGCAGUUCACUUUAUCUUAACUGGGUUUGUACUUUUUGGCUUAAAUUCCCUCAGUCUACAGACCAGCUGCCAACAGUUCCAGUCCAGCGUGUCCGGGCAGCUUUUCCCUUUGUCUCCCUGGGCUGCACCAUGGCCUUGGGUUUGGGCUAUGGGAGUUGAAGUUUGCUUCUCUGCCCCAAAUGGUGACAGUGUCCCUGUUGCUGAUAGCAGGAGCUACACUUACCAAUUUUCUUUUCCACCGAAGUGGACCUUCAGAGGAAGAUUGUCUGGUGUUUGCACCACUGCCCCUGGUUUUACAGGCCUCUCCUGUUUCAGGUCUGUCCGGGACUUUGUUUCUCAGUAAGCUCCUGAGUUGUUUUCUCGAUUCCUCACCUGGCUCCUAGGGCAGUGAAGCUCAGCCGGUCCCAGUACCCGGAAGGAAGCUCCCCACCUCCAUCCCAGGCUCCUAGGGCAGUGAAGCUCAGCCGGUCCCAGGACAUGGAAGGAAGCUCCCUGCCUCCAUCCCAGGCUCCUAGGGCAGAGAGGGUGAGCCAGUCCCAGCACCCAGAAGGAAGCUCCCCCACUGCCAUCCCAAGCUCCUAGGGCAGAGAAGCUGAGCCAGUCCCAGCACCUGGAAGGAAGCUCCUCGGCUGCCAUCCCAAGGUGCUAGGGCAGAGAAGGUGAGCCAAGUGGGUGCCAGAAGCACACCACCACCCCACCCCCACCACCCCCACCCCCGUGGAAAUGAG
ensembl:lncRNA